rnacentral:rRNA from 1 species
GAUGAACGCUAGCUACAGGCUUAACACAUGCAAGUCGCAGGGUAACAUGAGGAAAGCUUGCUUUCCUUGAUGACGACUGGCGCACGGGUGAGUAACGCGUAUCCAACCUUCCCAUAACUACGGGAUAACCCGUUGAAAGACGGCCUAAUACCGUAUGACAUCGUUUGCUGACAUCAAAUAACGAUUAAAGGUUUAGCGGUUAUGGAUGGGGAUGCGUCUGAUUAGCUUGUUGGCGGGGUAACGGCCCACCAAGGCUACGAUCAGUAGGGGUUCUGAGAGGAAGGUCCCCCACAUUGGAACCGAGACACGGUCCAAACUCCUACGGGAGGCAGCAGUGAGGAAUAUUGGUCAAUGGGCGAGAGCCUGAACCAGCCAAGUAGCGUGCAGGACGACGGCCCUAUGGGUUGUAAACUGCUUUUAUGUGGGGAUAAAGUGCGUGACGUGUCAUGCAUUGCAGGUACCACAUGAAUAAGGACCGGCUAAUUCCGUGCCAGCAGCCGCGGUAAUACGGAAGGUCCGGGCGUUAUCCGGAUUUAUUGGGUUUAAAGGGAGCGUAGGCUGUCUAUUAAGCGUGUUGUGAAAUUUACCGGCUCAACCGGUGGCUUGCAGCGCGAACUGGUCGACUUGAGUAUGCAGGAAGUAGGCGGAAUUCAUGGUGUAGCGGUGAAAUGCUUAGAUAUCAUGACGAACUCCGAUUGCGCAGGCAGCUUACUGUAGCAUAACUGACGCUGAUGCUCGAAAGUGCGGGUAUCAAACAGG